GCGAGAGUCAGGCACGAAAAGCCGCGACUACGGGGUGUGCAGAUGAAAACAGGAUGCGGAGAGGAAGCGAAAACGGUCGCGGAAUCGGGGCACAACGGACCUAACUCCGAUGGCUCACUGACGGUCGCACUUUCGGACACUGAUCGCGAAGAGACGAGACUUACUCCCUCCGCUUCUUCUUCUUCACACCAUCACGCUCGGCCGUUAAACUACCCUAAAACGAAAUGUGAUCUCGCGCGGCGCGAAGAAAAUCCGCCGGCGAGAUAAACGACCGACGCCGAGUUAAUACUUGAACGUGAUUCCGUAAUCCCCUCUCGUCCUCGUGUCGUUUAUUCGGCGACGACGGUGGACGCCGCCGAUCACUGUGCAAAUCCUAAACGCAAGAAACGGUGAAAGAGAGAGGGGAAGGGGACUGCGAACAAGACCGCGUGUCACGGCGACGAGUGGGGCGAUCUAGCACGUAGAUCACGGAUCGCCUGCAUGCCCCGUCGAGCGCCCUGGGACGACUGACUGUUUUCUGUCGCGGAGCGCGAGAGUAUUGCCGCAACGCGCGCGAGCCGGCAUCCAAUGAGGCCGGGCGGAUCCCCACCGUCCCCGGAGGUGGAGAUGCGUGGAGGGGUAGGCUGGCACCUGGUGGACAGCUGCCCCUUACCUGGCCGCGAUGCACCCGGCCACCCCAACGUGCGAGGCUACAUCGCCGACCGGAGUUGGGGUAUACGAAACGAUCGAGAGCUGGAGAGAAGCGAGAGAGAAAUCUACGACUCCUCUCACCGUUAAUUUCAACCUCUAGACUGGGAUCGUCAAGGGCGGAAUUCAAAAAAAGCUCGAGCUUUGUCGCGUCGUUUUGUGAAUGGCAGACUGAUUCAAACGAUGAUAUUUGAACCAAUUCAACGACCACGACAUCCAGGAAACGACAUCCACAAAAAGAGUAACAUUGUCAGCACGCGUUUGCGCCAGGAAGUCCGAGUGCAGAUCGCAUGGCUGUGCACGCGAUCACACAUUGCUUGCGUCUACUAACAAAGUAUAACAUUCCAAUAACUGCACGGAAAAGCAAGCACGUGCGUGCCUCGCAAUAGUUACGCCAGAAGUGAACGGCAUAUGUAGCUUCGUUGUUGAGCGAAUAAAUGAGUGAGUGACUGAGUAAGUGAGUGAUCCAGUGCACCUGGCCUACACUGCGAACGAUAAGGUAAGUUUAACCAUUUCAGUGUAUAAAAUAAAUAUAAUUAAAGUCUAAAGGAUAAACUACGACAUCAGAAACCUCAUAUUAAUGAUAAUAUUGCGAAAAAUUGAAAAGGAAUUUUUUCUUUUCUCGUCAACUGUUGUUUAACAUGUCGAGCGUAUCCAUUUUCGUUUGUUAGCGAAACGGGCAAAUUAGAAUUUCGAGGGGUUCGUCGAAAAUAAUUUUUUCAUUCGGCCAGAAGGUGUAGUUCAUUCACUAUCGCAUUCACGUUCCGGCAGUUACGCAAAGCAGAUGUUCGAUCUUAAAAGAUGAAGACUGACUUCCCACCCUGAAAAAAUGCCGGGACGAAGAACAGGUGCUUGUAAAAAAUCUCCUCUCGAAACUUAGAGACGAUCUUUAUACGGGAAAGCAUUGACUUCUGGCCAUCGCCUUCUGUAAUCUGCAGUUUUAAUCAACGAUUUACUAGAAAAAUUACAAGAUAUAUAUGUUUUAGAAAUAAAAAAGAACUUUCGAGAUUUCGAAUGCAGCUGUCUGACGUUAAGUUAUGUUUUUUUUUUUUUUGUAACUAAUUGCCUGACAUAGAUCCAUUUUGUCCCUGCCAUAACACUUGGUAGUCGUCGGCGGACCAACAUACUCGAUAAUAGCUUCCUAAUGCGUUUUGUAUAAUCGAAGAUCUUUUGUAGGACCUUCACCGUUUGCUAAGAAUAGGCCGUGAUUCGGAACGACAAGAUCGGCGUCUUUGGAAGACGCAGGUAGUUGCGCCCACUGUACUACUAUUCGAGAGUCGUCUUUAGAAAUCUCAGCACACGCAGAAAAAUCGUAUUUUACGAAACGGUGCGAAGCGAGAAAAUGUGCAGAAUGCCAUCGAGACUUCCUUGCGUCAUCUAUAUAUCGCCAUUAGCUAAAAUAUAUAUCGUUAUAUUACUUAAAAAGGAUACUUGAUCAUCUUCAAGAGUUAAUACUUGCGAAAUAUUGAAAUUAUGCGAACGUGCGAAAUUACGGUGGAAUGUCAAUACGGAACUCGUAAUGCUAAGUGAACUCUCGGUGUUGGGUUUCGGUAAGGCGCGGCAAUAUGGAAUGUGUAUCCUUUUAAACUGGUGAUCUAUACUUGGAAAGGGUGGCGUAAUAUUUUUCGGGACGACGUAAUAUUCUCGACUUUAAAUCACCAGAGCAGGUAAAAAGACCUCACCUAAGGUCGCGUCUACGACCGCUUCUCCGUUUGAGGUUUCCGGGGACUGUCCCCUUCGAUGUCUUUCUAUUUAAAACGUAGCUAUUCAAGAGAUUUAACCGAUAGACCGCCGAUCGCAUUUAUCUGAAGUGCCGAACGUAUCGUUUUAUGCGCGGGUAUAUUCUUCCCAAUCAUCAAGUUUAAUGCCCGCUCGUAACUUGCUAAUUAUAAAUUCCUAAUCAUAAAUUAACUUUAUUAUGAUCGUUAUUACGAAUUAACGUUAUGUAUGUAUUUUAUAGAUAUACAAUACUGUACGUGUGUAUGCAUACGUGUGCCUUACAUUUGCAGUACAUUUUAUUCGUUCGUGUUCACUGGCUGGCCGUAUCAUGCGCGAACUUCUGUACGUGAACCCUCCAAUUAAAACGUUCCUUUCUCGGCUGCGCCGUAUUUUGUCAAACGUUUACCACUUCCUCAAUUAUAAAUAAGCGAGUAUCCGCACUGGAUCGCGUUUCCGCUAUUCUUUAAUUCCUCUCGGCUAUUUUGCAUGACGGUACUUUCUUCCUGCUGCCGUGUUCCUUCCGAGGCGGCUCGACAAAGGCCGUUCGAAAAAGAUGCGUGGCAGGUGCGUACGCGUGCCCGUCGUCCAAUCGCGUUCGGCCGCCGUACCGGUUGCAUGUGUAUACGUUUUACCAGGUACCAAGGAGCACACACGAGACGACAAGGGGAGAAGAAGGCAAUAAGAAGAACCGCGGUGCACCUUGCGUCGGCCUCGAUCCCAUUGACAGAAUUCCACCGCUACGAGAGUUUCCGCGUGUAUGUAAUCGUGCUUGGCGAAAAAAAGGGAACCCUCGCGAAUUAAUUGCACGCUCCAUUAGGAUCGUCGCGAAUCGCUAAGCGACGCGACGACACUCGUGUUAACGAUACCGAGGUGCGAGAAUUCGCCUUCUUAUUUUUUCGCAGGUAAAUCGAGAACUGGCUUUGCUCCGGUGUCUUCCAAGAAAAAAAAAAA